CUGCAGCAUUCCAGGCGCAGUUCUGGCGCAUUUUGGCGCAUUUGGGACGCAAAACAGCCGAGUAUUACUGCUCCAAUGUGCGCUGGAAAUGCUUCAGCAUUCCAGUCGCACAUCCAACUCAUUCCAGACACACAAAAUAUUUUUUCUCUUGGUCAAACUUUGUGGGCUGACCCCACACAUCAGCCUAAGACAAUUUUAAACACUCAAAAUGAAACCAAAAGCAGCAACAUUCUCAAUUUCUCAUAACAAUUAAUGUCAAACGUCUCCUCUCUCUCUCAACUUUAAAAUUCCCUCUUUCUUGAACAUCAAUUGCUAAGCAACAAGUGAAAGAAUUAUUUUGGACUUGAUCUUCAUCUUUCUCCUCUAUUAAUUCAACAAAGGUAUGUCUUCAAGGAAAAACUUGCCACAAAAAACUAUUCAGGGAUGAUGAUUCACCCUUCAUAGCUGACUCGAUGAGAGGAGCCCAGUCUGACGAGGCUCCUAUUGAGACAGUACGGUCAUUCACCGACAGGGAUCCGAGCGCCUAGCGCUCCACAGGGAGUCUCUACCCUCCUCUACUUUCUUUUAUUUUCGCAUUGGGGACAAUGCAAUGUCUUUGGUGGGGGUGGGACACUUUUAUGUGAUCGGCACUUACUGUCUCAUUUUAUGAUAUAUGGUUUGAUAGAUUGUGGAGAUAUAUUCUAUUUUAUUAUGUUGAUGUUUAUGUACUAUAGUCGAUGUUUUAGUACGGUUAUGGCAUUUAAUUAAUUAGUUGCAUUGCUCUUGUCGCCCCCGUAUAUAUGUGUCCAAUAAACUCUAAGGGUUUUCUUCGAAACUCGAUUCUUUCCUAAGGAGCAAAAUUUUUAUUUUUAUUUCAAUCUUUUAUUUUUAUUUUUAAUAUAGUUUCUUUGUCGAACCGGGUGAUAAUUCACCCAUGAUGGAUUACAAGGUGACAUCUUUAGGUGAAAUAUCUAGACAUUUUGAUUAACUAGGAAGAAGCAAAAAUUCAAAAAUGCUUUCACAAUGUCAUUGGCAAGGAAUAAAUUAUUUUCGGAGAAAAAUCAAAAUUAUAGUUUUAAGAUCAAGGAUGUUUUGAGUUUUCUUUUGAGUGAGACCAUUAAACUCAAUUUUUAGCUCUUUCUUUACAAGGAUGAGUCGUUGACUCGGAGUAACUUAUGAAGCUCAAAUUGCUCAAAUUGGUUGGGAGACUAACUUUUUGCCCUAUGAGUACGAUGCCAUGAGUGGUGAGAUUUUUGAAUAAUUAUUGUGCAUAUGUAUAGUCUAGAACUUGCCCCGAGUGUAUUCAAAGCGAAAUUCUAGACGAGCUUGGGUUGGAGGAUGAUCCGAGGCCAUUUUUGACCCGUCACAUCGCCAAAUUCCCACCUUAACAUGGUUCCAUAGUUAACCCGUUUGAACCUUUUUGCCCAUCAUUCUUUCUUACUGUAACGAUAACCAUACUAAAACACCUAAAUCCCUUUGAAAAUAUCUCUUUUGGCACUUAACCUCCUUUGAUGCAUUGCAUGAUUCUAAAUAACUUAUUUUAGGCAAAAGCCUAAGUUUGGGGGGUUGUGUCGUUGGGAGAAAAUGAUCAAAAAGAAGACACGAAAGGUGUAUGUAAGGUUUCAUGUACUUAAAAGACAAGAGAUGUGUUUGAUGAUAAAGUUGUAUAGCCUAGCCCAUAGAAUGUGAAGAAAAAAAUGAGACAAAUGGGGGGCUAAGAAGAGUUCAAAGUUUGAAUUUCUCUUGAAGAAGUCAAAGAAAGAAAGAAAAUGGUGGCUCUGAAUUGUUUGGUAAAUAUUGAUCAAAAAGGUUGGGAAAAUGGAAAAUGAUUUAAAGAAGAGUAAGGUGGAUAAUUUGAAAAUUUUGGGGUAGGAAGGGGUUGAGAAAUUGCAUUGAAGAAUGUAUUUUAGUCACUUGAUCCAUAUGUAUUCCUUCCCGCACCUUAAACCUUCAUCUUGACCCGCAAGACCUUGGUGAUUCCAAACUAAGUCUACAUUAGUGGCGAAAAACACAAAGGGCAAGCCUAUGAUUCUAUUCGAUGUACUUGAAUUUCUUUAUGAGAGUGAGAGUAAAUUCUUUCUUCAUUUAAGCUUCUUUUAAGACUUGAAAUGUCUUUUGUGUGUGGAGCAAACUCUUGCAUGUGAGAGGUAUCGAUACUUUUGGGUAGAAAGUGAAUUUUACUAUCGAUUUGGGUAAAUGAGUGAAGUAAGUUGCAUUGUGAGGAUUGAGACAAUCUUUGGUGAUUUUGUGUCUUAUCUUAAGAUGCUUGGUGAUUUAGAAGUUCAUUUGAUACAAACUUGCAUCCUUACUUUAUAAAUAUGUGAUUAUUGAAAAUUUUUGGUUUACUUGAUGUCAUGACGUGUGGAAAGUGUUGUAGAGCUUUGUUAGCUUAUUCCUUUUGUAUAGUUUUCCUCUGGGUGGAAUUGAGUGAAAAUGCCUUAUCUCAUUGAAUUCUUCUUGGUUGCUUAAGGACAAGCAGUAGUUUAAGUUUGGGGGGUUGAUAAGUCAUCAAUUUGACGACUUAUUAGCACCUUUUAUGCCUAAAUUAUCAUGUUUUUCCAUUUAGGUGCUCUCGUACUUAAUGCUCAUUUAUGUAGGUAUAAUUAAAAAGAGAAGAUUGGAUAAGUCAUGCAAGUUAUUCAAGUCAUCAAGAGGUCAAAUGGAAGAAAAAGAAACAUCCGCUUUGGAUCCGCUCAAGUAGGUCAAGAAAUGAGUGGUAGUUUUGUAAUUUCCAUCAAAUGUAGAGGGGUUUAAAAGCAGGCUUUAGCCCUAUUUUUCAGACCUAAUUUUCUGUAUUGGGAGCAGCCUCCCUUGCAGUAUUUUUCAGCUUCUCUCUUCCCUUUUAUCAUCUAUUAUUCUACACUUCACCUUCCAUCUUUAGCUUAGGAUUUUUGUAAUUUUUUGGAGCUUGGAGCAAGACUUGUACUAAUUUUGAGCUAAGAAGACAUUAGAGUAACUUAUAAGUGUAGAUCUGGGUUCACCCAUUGAAGAUUCAUUGGAUCCUGAAGUGUGGUUUGCACUCUCUUUAUUUUCUUAUGAAUAACUUUGAUGGAAA